GUUGAGCAGACUUUGGUUAAACAGUUCAAGCCUCGCUUACCAUUUCUUGUGCAGGAACGAACUAUUGAAGCUUUAGCCAGUUUGUAUGGAAAUUCCAUACUUUCCAUUAAACUUGUAAAUUCUGAAGCAAAACGAUUGCUUGUUGGUUUGAUCACAAUGGCGACCAAUGAAGUUCAGGAUGAGCUUAUAAGAGCUCUUCUCACACUAUGCAACAAUAAGGGCAGCCUGUGGCGUGCACUCCAAGGCCGUGAAGGGGUUCAACUUUUGAUAUCUCUUCUUGGGCUUUCAUCAGAACAACAACAAGAAUGUGCAGUUGCAUUGCUUUGUCUUCUAUCUAAUGAAAAUGAUGAAAGUAAAUGGGCCAUCACUGCUGCUGGUG
rnacentral:misc_RNA from 1 species